GUUCACAUCACGUUGAAACACCUGUUCCUGGACGAUCACCGAAGUUAAGCAAAGCCGAGCCUAGUCAGUACCUAGAUGAGCGACCGUUUGUGAAUAUUAGGUGUUGUAA